UAGGGAAUCUUCGGCAAUGGGGGCAACCCUGACCGAGCCAUGCCGCGUGAACGAUGAAGGCCUUAGGGUUGUAAAGUUCUUUCGCCUGGGAAGAUAAUGACGGUACCAGGUAAAGAAACCCCGGCUAACUCCGUGCCAGCAGCCGCGGUAAUACGGAGGGGGUUAGCGUUGUUCGGAAUUACUGGGCGUAAAGCGCGCGUAGGCGGACCGAAAAGUUGGGGGUGAAAUCCCGGGGCUCAACCCCGGAACUGCCUUCAAAACUGCCGGUCUGGAGGUCGAGAGAGGUGAGUGGAAUUCCGAGUGUAGAGGUGAAAUUCGUAGAUAUUCGGAGGAACACCAGUGGCGAAGGCGGCUCACUGGCUCGAUACUGACGCUGAGGUGCGAAAGCGUGGGGAGCAAACAGGAUUAGAUACCCCCGUAGUCC
rnacentral:rRNA from 1 species